rnacentral:rRNA from 1 species
UCCUACGGGAGGCAGCAGUCGGGAAUAUUGCGCAAUGGAGGAAACUCUGACGCAGUGACGCCGCGUAUGGGAAGAAGGUUUUCGGAUUGUAAACCAUUGUCGUUAGGGAAGAAGAAGUGACAGUACCUAAGGAGGAAGCUCCGGCUAACUAUGUGCCAGCAGCCGCGGUAAUACACAGGGAGCAAGCGUUAUCCGGAUUUAUUGGGUGUAAAGGGUGCGUAGACGGGAAUUUAAGUUGGUUGUGAAAUCCCUCGGCUCAACUGAGGAACUGCAACCAAAACUGGAUUUCUUGAGUGCUGGAGAGG